UAUGGGUUGUAACUAGGUCUAUUCUACUGAUAUAGAUAUUAAUGGGUUGUAACUAGGUCUAUUCUACUGAUAUAGAUAUUAAUGGGUUGUAACUAGGUCUAUUCUACUAUACUGACCAUAGAUAUUAAUGGGUUGUAACUAGGUCUAUUCUACUAUACUGAUAUAGAUAUUAAUGGGUUGUAACUAGGUCUAUUCUACUGAUAUAGAUAUUGAUGGGUUGUAACUAGGUCUAUUCUACUGAUAUAGAUAUUAAUGGGUUGUAACUAGGUCUAUUCUACUGAUAUAGAUAUUGAUGGGUUGUAACUAGGUCUAUUCUACUGAUAUAGAUAUUAAUGGGUUGUAACUAGGUCUAUUCUACUGAUAUAGAUAUUAAUGGGUUGUAACUAGGUCUAUUCUACUGAUAUAGAUAUUAAUGGGUUGUAACUAGGUCUAUUCUACUGAUAUAGAUAUUGAUGGGUUGUAACUAGGUCUAUUCUACUGAUAUAGAUAUUAAUGGGUUGUAACUAGGUCUAUUCUACUAUACUGAUAUAGAUAUUGAUGGGUUGUAACUAGGUCUAUUCUACUGAUAUAGAUUUUAAUGGGUUGUAACUAGGUCUAUUCUACUGAUAUAGAUAUUGAUGGGUUGUAACUAGGUCUAUUCUACUGAUAUAGAUAUUAAUGGGUUGUAACUAGGUCUAUUCUACUGAUAUAUAUAUUAAUGGGUUGUAACUAGGUCUAUUCUACUGAUAUAGAUAUUAAUGGGUUGUAACUAGGUCUAUUCUACUAUACUGAUAUAGAUAUUAAUGGGUUGUAACUAGGUAUUUUCUACUGAUAUAGAUAUUAAUGGGUUGUAACUAGGUCUAUUCUACUGAUAUAGAUAUUAAUGGGUUGUAACUAGGUCUAUUCUACUGAUAUAGAUAUUAAUGGGUUGUAACUAGGUCUAUUCUACUGAUAUAGAUAUUAAUGGGUUGUAACUAGGUCUAUUCUACUGAUAUAUAUAUUAAUGGGUUGUAACUAGGUCUAUUCUACUGAUAUAGAUAUUAAUGGGUUGUAACUAGGUCUAUUCUACUAUACUGAUAUAGAUAUUAAUGGGUUGUUACUAGGUCUAUUCUACUAUACUGAUGUGUAUAUUAAUGGGUUGUAACUAGGUCUAUUCUACUGAUAUAGAUAUUAAUGGGUUGUAACUAGGUCUAUUCUACUAUACUGAUAUAGAUAUUAAUGGGUUGUAACUAGGUCUAUUCUACUCUACUGAUAUAGAUAUUAAUGGGUUGUAACUAGGUCUAUUCUACUCUACUGAUAUAGAUAUUAAUGGGUUGUAACUAGGUCUAUUCUACUAUACUGAUAUAGAUAUUGAUGGGUUGUAACUAGGUCUAUUCUACUGAUAUAGAUAUUAAUGGGUUGUAACUAGGUCUAUUCUACUGAUAUAGAUAUUGAUGGGUUGUAACUAGGUCUAUUCUACUGAUAUAGAUAUUAAUGGGUUGUAACUAGGUCUAUUCUACUGAUAUAGAUAUUGAUGGGUUGUAACUAGGUCUAUUCUACUGAUAUAGAUAUUAAUGGGUUGUAACUAGGUCUAUUCUACUGAUAUAGAUAUUGAUGGGUUGUAACUAGGUCUAUUCUACUGAUAUAGAUAUUAAUGGGUUGUAACUAGGUCUAUUCUACUGAUAUAGAUAUUAAUGGGUUGUAACUAGGUCUAUUCUACUGAUAUAGAUAUUAAUGGGUUGUAACUAGGUCUAUUCUACUGAUAUAGAUAUUAAUGGGUUGUAACUAGGUCUAUUCUACUGAUAUAGAUAUUAAUGGGUUGUAACUAGGUCUAUUCUACUGAUAUAGAUAUUAAUGGGUUGUAACUAGGUCUAUUCUACUAUACUGAUAUAGAUAUUAAUGGGUUGUAACUAGGUCUAUUCUACUAUACUGAUAUAGAUAUUAAUGGGUUGUAACUAGGUCUAUUCUACUGAUAUAGAUAUUAAUGGGUUGUAACUAGGUCUAUUCUACUAUACUGAUGUGUAUAUUAAUGGGUUGUAACUAGGUCUAUUCUACUAUACUGAUAUAGAUAUUAAUGGGUUGUAACUAGGUCUAUUCUACUAUACUGAUGUGUAUAUUAAUGGGUUGUAACUAGGUCUAUUCUACUAUACUGAUAUAGAUAUUAAUGGGUUGUAACUAGGUCUAUUCUACUAUACUGAUAUAGAUAUUAAUGGGUUGUAACUAGGUCUAUUCUACUCUACUGAUAUAGAUAUUAAUGGGUUGUAACUAGGUCUAUUCUACUCUACUGAUAUAGAUAUUAAUGGGUUGUAACUAGGUCUAUUCUACUAUACUGAUAUAGAUAUUGAUGGGUUGUAACUAGGUCUAUUCUACUGAUAUAGAUAUUAAUGGGUUGUAACUAGGUCUAUUCUACUGAUAUAGAUAUUGAUGGGUUGUAACUAGGUCUAUUCUACUGAUAUAGAUAUUAAUGGGUUGUAACUAGGUCUAUUCUACUAUACUGAUAUAGAUAUUGAUGGGUUGUAACUAGGUCUAUUCUACUGAUAUAGAUAUUAAUGGGUUGUAACUAGGUCUAUUCUACUGAUAUAGAUAUUGAUGGGUUGUAACUAGGUCUAUUCUACUGAUAUAGAUAUUAAUGGGUUGUAACUAGGUCUAUUCUACUGAUAUAGAUAUUAAUGGGUUGUAACUAGGUCUAUUCUACUGAUAUAGAUAUUAAUGGGUUGUAACUAGGUCUAUUCUACUGAUAUAGAUAUUGAUGGGUUGUAACUAGGUCUAUUCUACUGAUAUAGAUAUUAAUGGGUUGUAACUAGGUCUAUUCUACUGAUAUAGAUAUUAAUGGGUUGUAACUAGGUCUAUUCUACUGAUAUAGAUAUUAAUGGGUUGUAACUAGGUCUAUUCUACUAUACUGAUAUAGAUAUUGAUGGGUUGUAACUAGGUCUAUUCUACUGAUAUAGAUAUUAAUGGGUUGUAACUAGGUCUAUUCUACUAUACUGAUAUAGAUAUUGAUGGGUUGUAACUAGGUCUAUUCUACUGAUAUAGAUAUUAAUGGGUUGUAACUAGGUCUAUUCUACUAUACUGAUAUAGAUAUUAAUGGGUUGUAACUAGGUCUAUUCUACUGAUAUAGAUAUUAAUGGGUUGUAACUAGGUCUAUUCUACUGAUAUAGAUAUUGAUGGGUUGUAACUAGGUCUAUUCUACUGAUAUAGAUAUUAAUGGGUUGUAACUAGGUCUAUUCUACUGAUAUAGAUAUUAAUGGGUUGUAACUAGGUCUAUUCUACUGAUAUAGAUAUUAAUGGGUUGUAACUAGGUCUAUUCUACUAUACUGAUAUAGAUAUUGAUGGGUUGUAACUAGGUCUAUUCUACUGAUAUAGAUAUUAAUGGGUUGUAACUAGGUCUAUUCUACUAUACUGAUAUAGAUAUUGAUGGGUUGUAACUAGGUCUAUUCUACUAUACUGAUGUAUAUAUUAAUGGGUUGUAACUAGGUCUAUUCUACUAUACUGAUAUAGAUAUUAAUGGGUUGUAACUAGGUCUAUUCUACUAUACUGAUAUAGAUAUUAAUGGGUUGUAACUAGGUCUAUUCUACUGAUAUAUAUAUUAAUGGGUUGUAACUAGGUCUAUUCUACUGAUAUAGAUAUUAAUGGGUUGUAACUAGGUCUAUUCUACUAUACUGAUAUAU